GACAGAUGUGUACAGAGCGUGUGUGCACACCUCGGGGUGUAUGCUGUCGUUGGCAUGGACAGACGUGAGCGUGUACAGAGCGUGUGUGCACACCUGGGGGUGUGUGCUGGUGUUGAUAGGGACAGAUGUGUACAGAGCGUGUGUGCACACCUGGGGGUGUGUGCUUAUGAUGUUUUGUAACCGGCAAAUACGUGGCCUGUUGCAUCGGGCGGCCCUGCGCCCAUGCUGAGCCCGUCAGUGGCCCUCGGGUUGGGGUCUCCAUCUGCCCAGACAGCACUCGAGUGGCUUGAGGUUUCAGAUUCUUCCUCUACGGAUACUUGGGCUUCCUCAGGACCAAACAUCAGAACCAGCCAACUGCAAACUACAAGAACGUUCAAAUGCAUCUUCAGUAGGAAAAACAAAAGCAAUUGGAAAAAUUUUCCAACGUGACCCCGUGGUUAAGCCGUUAGAUACUCCAGCCAACAGAUUGAGUCACUUUAAAAUUCACACCAAUUAAAAUGGUUGUGAGAGUUGCAGAGCUUUACCGCUAAACCUUGAAAUAAUUGAAGCAUUCUGCUCCACUUGCUUACAAACUAGAGUUGGGGAUACCUUUCAGUCCAAAGUAGCAACCUUCUAAAUCCAGCUUAGAUGCGAGGCUCCCACUGACACAGGAAGAGACAGUGGCCCUUGAUUAUUCUCCUGUGUUCAGAUACUGUGUCAUUUCUUUUUUUUUUUUUUUUUUUUUUUGUAUCCUGAUCAUCACUUCUGCUUUUCCAAUUCAAACUAAAGGGAGUUUAGUUCUGUUUUGGAGAAGCUGUGGUUAGUAGUUUCUUUUCAUGGUUUGCUUAAUCUCUUAAGUCUGGUGCUUACAUUACCCAAAUAGACUUUUCUUUAGUACGACAGUGCCAUAACCCAGGGCUUCUCCCUCCAUAUCUGCUCCCCAGGAGGCUCCCUAGGAAUGGGCGCUGGAGAUCCAGCCCCUCUCCAUGUGCCAUUUUCUUUGAGUCCAAGGUAGGUUUGGCUCAGAGAAGAAAAGAGGCCUCCGGGUUAGGUGCCUCUGACUGCUUGCUUGUGAAAUGUUUAAUGAUAAGGCGACUUCCAAACUAAUUUACACAUUGAUAGUUGUAGCUUGAAGUAUCACCGCAGUCAUAAGAACAAGAAACACUCCCAUAAAGUAGAUAAGCAGAAAAAAGCCAUAGAAGUUUAAUAAAGCGCAAAUAAAAUGGUGUUGUAAGAAUGUCCAGUGGGAAAUGCUCUCAGUCCAGCCAGAUCCAGCUGUGGCGUCAGUCCAGCUGUGGUGUCCUCCUGUAAAAACAUUCAGCCACAUGUGGCCCUGAUCGCAAUCACUACUCUGAAUUGUGAUCCAGAAUGUUCUUGGGGGCCGAUGCUGGGACUGUUCCAGCAGUUCAAUCUGAUUGGGCGUCACGGUGGUGAUGUGCUUAGCGCGGCCAGCUGGGCUGAGUGGUGGCCACCCGUGCACUCGCCACGUGCAGCCGCCGUUAUUCUGGUGAUGGGGUUGCAUGCGCCCGGCUUGUCCACCUGGGCUAUUAAAGUACUGGGAACCCAACCGCGGGCGGUGCCUCCCGAUAUGGGAGCUGUCUUUUUUAUCCAGGGCCCUCUGGCGCUGCAGAACCCUGCUGCCAGUCUGAGCUCACAAGGAGGUACCGGAGGGCUCUGCUGGGGCAUGGAGGUCCCUGAGCAGGUGGUCACUUAUUGCUUGUGGAGUGGUCCAUGGCCUGUGAGUUUAUUCUCGGGGUUUGUGUGGGCGAGGUUAACCAGUUCACAGCUGGGCACUUACCCCUUACACAGGUGACACUAGUUAAAGUGGAAUCUAUAUUAGCUCACACGGGAGUGUGUGAGGAGCUGGGAGGGUGGGGAGGCUUGGCCUUAGCACUAGAUUCCCGGGCUCCUGACAUUUCUGCGUCUUCCAGUUGAGGGGCCGUCAGAGCCGCUGUGGGUCCUGAAGACAGUGGGUGCCAUAUGGACCAGGGGAUGCAGAAGCCUCUAGAGGCUGCGGGAGGCAAGGAGACGGUCGCUUCCCCAGAGCCAGCCCUGCCGCCACUUCGACGUUAGAUGGUGGGACCUGUUUUGGACUCCAGCUUCCAGAAAUGUGAGAAAAUAAGUCAGAGUUUAGGGCGCUAAAUUUGGGGUGAUUUAGUGGAGAAAUAGAAAACUAGCCCACAAAUGUGCACGCAUUGAAAUGUGCUCUGUCCAGGUGUUCACAGUGGUGUGAGGGAGAUGGCAUCAGGGUUCUGGGAACUGUGCAGUUUUACUGAAGGAAGGGGGCUCGCCACGCCUUUCCUCAUAUAACUGAAGUGCCCAGGAGGCUGAUGCCACAUAGAAGACCUGCAGGUCGAUGGAUGUGAAACAGGCAACGGACACGCUGUGCACCUUGGGACGCAUCUGAGAAGUACGUGCUUGCAGCAGGUCUGAGAUUCUGUGGCCAAAAACUUACCCGUGGACAUUGAGGGUGAUGCACUUCUGCUCCAAGACGUCUGUGGACUCAGCUAGAGGGAUGGAAAGGAUAUGGAGCCUCUUCACUCUUGGCCUGGGCCUGGACCUGCUGUGUAGCCUCUCAGUGGCACCAGGGCCCCCUUGUGUCACAGCAGUCUCAGGUUGGUGGCACUGCCCCAGGAUGUCCCAGGCUUCAUGAUGUCCAGGCUCCUCUGGCAUGGCGGCCUCAGAUUUCUUUGCAUCGUCUCCCUUAUCCAGAAGUGAGGGUGAACGCUGAGUUAUUCACGGGAGUCAAGAAACCACACGCAGCCCAAAGAGACGUUUGUUUCCCUGGAAUGAUUUGUGUGUGUUCACCUUAAAAUGCAACUCAGUAAAACAGCUGAAUUCAAGAAAGGGAAACAAGCAGACAGAGUAAGUACCAGAAAGCGUCUAAGUUGUUGGGUGGGGGAUCCUACUAUGGUGUUGGAUUGUGUUCUGCCAGACAUCACUCCUCAAAAAGUUGACCCUGAAAGGGCUGGCAUUGCCCUCACCCUGCGACAUUCGUCUAUCUCACCAGAGAAUGAAGAAUCUGCCAGAGUACUGUGAGUCAAAUUCAGUCAGAACUCGAUUAAAUAAGAGGCUUUGUCUCAAAGGCCAAAACAUGAGGACACAUUUAAAUUUUAUUUAUUUUUAUUUUUUUAUUUUUUUUUUUUUUGAGAUGGAGUCUCGCUCUGUCGCCCAGGCUGGAGUGCAGUGGCGUGAUCUUGGCUCACUGCAAACUCUGCCUCUCAGCUUCACUCCUCUCUUCUGCCUCAGCCUCCCGAGUAGCUGGGACUACAGGUGCCCGCUACCACGCCUGGCUAAUUUUUUGUAUUUUUGGUAGAGACGGGGGUUUCACCGUGUUAGCCGGGAUGGUCUCGAUCGCCUGACCUUGUGAUCCGCCUGCCUCCUCCUCCCAAAGUGCUGGGAUUACAAGCGUGAGCCGCCGCACCCGGCCGAAAACAUGUUUCUUUACUGCCUCAGUCCUCAGUUGGGUAGUAUGUUCUUUGUCUUGAAAGGCGCGCUCUGCGAGAUGGGAAUCUUCCGGUUGCUUACUUAGGGAAUCCUGCCGGCUGUCAUUGACUGGAGAGCGCAGUUUCCUGGCUGCCCUGGUCUUUGAGGGGAGGGAGACUGAGGGGUCAUUUUCCUACCUGGACCAACAUGUUUAUUAAACCUGGCUUGUGGAUCCUUUGGAUCUUUUUAUGAAGGAAAAGCCACUUCUGUGACUUUCAGAUGAGUGGAAGUCAUGUUAACAGAAAUAAAUAAAUAAAUAAAUAAAUAAAUAAAUAAAUUUUGGCUACUAUGGAGAAGUUUUGUCCUUGUGACCUGUGAAUACAGUCACGGGAGAGCAGAAUGUUCACGGUGUGGGUGCUUACAGUGUACAUGUAGAGUCACAUUCUUCACUAGUAUUACAUUAAAAAGUGACAAAUAAGAGAAAAAUAUUUUGCUCAUUACAACCUCGGUAAGAAGCUGGCAGUACUCUUGUUUUUGGAAGGGUGUGAAGGGAAUAUUGAGAAAGUAUCAUCAACGUUAGACUCACCCACUCUGCAAAUCCUGGGCCGGCUCGCGUGAAGACCCCGUGAUGGAAAGAUGCACCCUUCUGCCCGGAAGGAGGUGAAUCUUUGUAGCACUCAGGAUGCAUGGUUCAUCUCUAUAUAAAGGCAGAGUGUGAAACGCCAUGGAGGCUGGGAGAAGAGAUGUAGUUAGCAAGUAUGAGUGAGAAGUUUGGGGCUUGUUAGCACCUGGCGUGUGUGCAGCAAGCUUUGCUAUCUGCACACGUGUGAUCCUUAGAACCCUGGCGUGUGGAGCCAUGAGGCUGUCGAGGGCCCCAGCUCCCAGCAGGCUGAGGAGUUCCCUGUUACCACCAGGAGAACCGUGAUUGAAGGCUGUCACUCAAUCCCAAGUCCCGGAAGGGGCUCCUUUCAGAGAGGAAAACACCCCUAGAGCCUCGGACAGAAUUCAGUGAUUUUUCUUAUGAUGUUGCUUAGAUUUCGCAAACAUGAAACCAAGAACAUAUUUCAGAAUGCUUAUGGUUCUUUUGUAACCAUGGAAACAAAGUAAUUUGCAGUCCAUGGACAGUUUGCAGAAGCUGAACUGCCUACAGCAUGAGCACAGCGCUCUCCCUACCGCCCUGGGCCUUGCUCCGGUUUGCUGGGGAGGCUUUGCAGAGCCUUUUGGCUGGGAUACCUCUCCCAUGUCCCAUGUUGCUACCCCUGGUCACAGCCAUACUACUGGGCACCUGUGCCGUGAGGACACUGAGUGGACACGGGGCCGCGGGGCAGCAGUUGGUCAUGAGGUGGCAUCCACAUGGUCCGAAACAGGUUUCUGUUCAUUAAGAAUGAUCGUUGCAAUAAAAACAUAGAGUGAAAGAAAACCCUCUACUGACCUGAGAAUGCGUCAGCUGAGUUGGAUGGGGAAGUGCAGUGAGGAAGGUGAGGACUGAAAGGAAAUGAAGGAGGGAGAGGAAAGGAGAGAAGGGAAGUGAAAGUGGGAGGGAGGAUGGGAGUGAAGAGGGAGAUGGAGGAGGAGGAAGAAGAGAGAGGGCGGUGGGCAGGAGCCUGGGAAAUGAGUCCCAGAGUCGGUUCCUGACCGUCAUGGGUGCGUCAGAGCUGGUCUUCCAGGAGAGGUGGCCUGGGAGGGCUGACCCUUAGGAAGUUAGGGCUGGGGGGAGCUGAUUUUUUGGCCCUCAGCGGGGCUGUUGCUGACCUGAGAUGCAGUCGAUGGUUAUCCCGAAGAGGUCGUCUGCACAGCCACCGUUUGCUGCCAGGUUGGAGAGAGAAGUGCUCCCCAUGGGUUCUUUCUAUUUUGUGGAGUUUUCCCAGUUUAGCUGAGCAGCCUGUCAGUGGAACUGUCAGUGAUUACUAACAUGUCUGCAUUCUAUAGAGCAGUCGGCCAGCUUCCGAUCCUGUAGUUGUUAGGGACACCACUCCCAUCGUGUCAGUGCUGGCCUAGCAUGGAAGCCACAGCCGGAGGCACUGGGAAACCUGCGUGGCUCUUGCUGCGGGGGUUCUGAUGGGAGUCGUGCGCUGGAAGAAUGAUGUCCUUUAGGCAGAGCCUGGCGAGGAGGGGGUGCUGCUGUUGCAGCAGUACAUGGAAUUUCAAACGACGAACGAAACAAGCUUUUAAUUAUGACCAGAGUUCUAUGCCCUGCUUUUCUUCAAAUGGAAAUGUUGUGCUGAAAUGAAUUUGCUGUUAAUCGGUUGCCUCAUGCAAGACGGAAUGCUGGGAGCAAAGUAGAAUGUGGACUUCUCUACGAAGCUUCCUCCUCUCAGACUAUAAUCAGCUGGAUGGUGCUACACAGGAAUAUGUGAGAAUUCGUCUGAGAAAGGCGAUGGGUGCAGACCUGUGUGACCGGCAGGUGUUGGGGGAGGUUUGAGAGAAGCUUUUGGCUGAAGUGGUGUCAGGUGCAGGUGCUGAAGCGUGAUGUCUGGCUGGAUGGAAGAGCACACGCCUCUGGGCUGGGGGAAACAGAUAAAGGAGGAGGUGGGCAGACAUGAGUCGUGUCUUAGGAAUGGUAGCAAUUCAGGCAGAUUCAGGAUCAGGCUCCCACGGGGGAGGAGUGGACAUCAGGACCCAGGGAGCGUGGGGCGGGGGUCAUGCCCAGGCCUCUGCGGAGCUUGCUGCUGUGUCAGCAGGGCCCUGUGCUUGCCCUCCUUAAAGCUUUCCCGAUCCAUAAAACGGGCACAACAAAAUCCACCUUGUGACAUUGAAGCUUAAAUGAGAUGAUCUACAUGGUGUCUUCCUUCCCUUCCUGACACAUCCUAGACUCACAGCUAUGGUAGCAGCGACAGACUGGAUGGAAUGCUGGAGCCGCUUUGCGCCUGGUGAAGCCACAUGGACUUGUGCAGUGCUGGCGACUGUCUCUGAAAACCUUUAAUCAUGGCAGUGGCAGCCUCGAGUGGCUCUUGGCAUACUUCAGUCUGUGGAGUGCAAGGUUGACUGGAUCUCCGUGGCCAUUGAUACUAUUCAGGGGUGAGCUGAUGGGGCCCUAAAACAUGGGGGAAGGCCGAGAGGACUUGGCGGCCAGAAGCAUUGUAGAUUUCUGGCUUCGAGAACUUGCUGACUUAUGGACAUAGGAAGGUAAACCCAGAUGGCUCCAAAAUUGUAAGUCCACAAGAAAGGUGGGAGGGUACAAUUGCUGAGUAGGUCAUGGUUGCCCUGUCCCUUUCUUUCUGGCCAUCGUUUCUGCUCCCUCCCCCUGCCUUUGUGGGCUGGAGGGCCUGAGCCUGCACAGUGGUCUCUUUCAUGGUGACGAUGGCUGAUUAUUACCCUGCACUAAGAAGUCUCUCCACUUUAUUUUGCAGCAGUAGGUAAAUACAUUUAAGGAGUGAUGGUUUAGUGGUAUUUGUUUUGUUUUUGCUUUUUGUUUUUUAAAGUAUCAUUUAACUGAAUGUUAUUGCCAAUUUCACUGAUCACUUUGAGAUGCCAAAACAUGCUUUGAUUUGUUAUUUUUUGUUUCAGCUAGUUUAUUGUGUCACAGGAAUGCCAAUUAUUCUGUUGUCACACAUCAUUAAGUAUCUCAAAUUGUGUUACUAUAAUACUUAGCUGAAUUACCUCCCUUAUUUUGACUUUUAAAAAACUAAAAUCUGUGUGAAACACACAGGAUGGUGCAUGUCCAUUGAGGGUUGUUGAGAAGUGUGACUUUUCCUGACAUGCUUGAGAAUCAGUGACAUUAUUUUAUAGAAACACGUUGUAACUGACUCCAAAACUAGAAGCUCCUGUAAAGGGCAGGGUAGGCAACGUGUUAUGUUUUGUGUGUCACAGAAGUCUCUGCAUAUAUUUCUUUUGUUAAAACUUCAAAGUGUAAAAACCACUUCUGGUUCCCUGGCCAAGGCUCAGUCGGGGAUCAUGGUUUGCAGACCCUUGACAGCAGCUGAGCUGAAAGCUGAUCUCCCAUGCGGUGAGCAGGAGCCCACCUCAUUGCUUCAGCCAGGAAGAUGCUGCCCUCAUGCUGGAAUUUACUUCAAACAAACUUGAAAGCUCUGGCACCGCUGCUCAUUUCCAUACUGUUGCAGGCUAUCUAAAAUACGGAGCAUGCCUUGGCGUUUUGAUUUUGUUACUCCUCUUGAACGGCUCUGAGAUGGCUCAUCACAAGUUAGACACUUGCAGAAAUGAUCAAGCAGAGCUGCAGUCAUCUUGCAGAUCAAGUGAAGAUUUUUCUGAAAGCUUGUUACAGGCUUAAAUUUCUGAUCCCGUUCCAUCCACUGAUCUUGUAUGAUUGGUUUCUUUUUGCACCCAUUUGGGCUGUGAAGCGUCUCCCCACCGUGGUAGAACUUUAGCUCUGAUUUCAUGCAUAAGCCGGUAUCCUCACUCCUCUUCUGCGAGGAGAAAGCGCUGCAGGUCCUGCGUGGUUUCCGUCCCCUCCCUGCACGCGGAUGGAUUGGGAGGUAUUUGUGGUGUGUGAACUUGUUACCCCUAGAGGCUCCUUGUUCACUCCCCUGGAUCAUACUCCUCCCUACUCCCAUAGACUGUACUCCUCCCUCGUGGUUCAUUCCCCGGACCUCAUUCCUCCCUCCUCCUUCCUGUCUCACUCCCCUGGACCACACACCUCCCUCCUGGUUCACUGCCCUGGGCCCCCACGCCUCCCUCCUGGUUCACUGCCCUGGGCCCCCACGCCUCCCUCCUGGUUCACUGCCUUGGGCCCCCACACCUCCCUACUCUCCUGAGCCGCAUUCCUCCUUCCUGGUUCACUCCCCUGGGUCCCCACUCCUCCCUCUUUUGGGGGCUUGGUAGUUUCUGCUGUGCUUGUGCCAGCACGAUAAGGCUGAGUGGCAGCUCCAGGGCUGUGGCUGCUCACGCAACUGUGGCAUUAGUGCAGAGAACUGCGGGGAUGCAGCUGCCCUUGCUGUGAUGCUUCGAGUGUCAUAGUCGAUAUGGGAAACUGGGUGGGAUGUGGAUGUCCCAGGAAGGGACAGGAGCCUCCACUCAGCCUCUGUCAAACACUUCUCAGCCAGGCGUGGUGGCUCAUGCCUGUAAUCCCAGCGCUUUGGGAGGCCGGGGCGGGCGGAUCACCUGAGAUCAGGAGUUGGAGACCAGCUUGGCCAAUGUGGUAAUUUUUGACGCAUUAAGGAUUAAGGAAAAAGACUCACACUCGUUUGCCUUGCUUUAUAAUUGACGAUUGGUGUAGCCCAGUAGUGUGAACUUGUUAAGCAACCAUUCUUACCGCAAGACUAAUCUUUAAAACUCUCUUCCUCUGGACACGUCUUUGGCUGCUGUAAUCAAAUGCAAUAUAAUCAGCACUGGUUAAUGGCUUUCCUUGCUGGGCUAACAAAUGCUCCUCAGAAACGUUGGUUUCUUGUUAUUUUCAUUUAUAAGUAUGUUUUAAGCCCUCUAAUUUUUCUAGCUUUCCUGCGAGUUGGGAAUAACUGUGAUGGGUGCUUAGUUUGGGAUGUUGACGUACACUCUAUGCCCAGCUACUAUGCCAUUGUGUGAACACUGAUUUGUCACUUUCUCAUGAAGACUGAUUUCACCUAGUUUGGUAAAUUCUAUUAAUUUUAAGGAAGGGGGUGGAAUGCAACUGCUGUUAGGAGGCUUUUUUAAGGAUCAAGGAAAUGUUGCCAUGAUUAUUACCAUUACAGAAGGAACAUAAAAACACGUGCUGCCUUCAGUCAUGAUGAAUAUGUAAGUCCGCAUCUGUGACUGCAGAACACGGCAGCCCUAAAUCUUAAAAUCGUGUGGAUGCACCAAGCCCAUCUGCAGGGCACUGUGGAGCAGCCUGCGUUAGCCGAAGUUGGCCCACAAGCCCUGAGGGAUGGUGUCUGAGUUAUGAUAAGGCUCUGACUUGGGAUUAAACAGGCCUCCAAAUACUGUGAUAUUCUAAACAAAGACACGAUACUGCCCAGGGAGCCCAGUGGACACCUGUAGGCAGUGUAGGUGAGAAAAGGCUCCAAGGAAGAUUCCUGCAGCUCAGCUAGGAGGAUUCUGUGUCAGUAGACACAUCAAUGUUCACAUAGGAGUGUUGAGCUAUAUUCAUUCCUUUUAAGCAGCCAGGCUUGUGUGUGUUUUCAGGGGCACUCACAUGGCGCCCCUUCCACCCUCACUGCUGGUCAGGUGAGGUGUUCAAGACUAGCCUGACCAACAAGGUGAAAUCCCAUCUGUACUUAAAAAUAUAAAAAAUUAGUCGGGCGUGGU